GCCCGGCGGGGAAGCGGGGACUCUCCGGAUGGGAGACUGGACGCUUCGCCGAGGGUGGGCUAGGAACGCCGAGAGUCAGCCCCAGGGAGCGCCAGGGAACUGCACCUGUCACCGAAGGGCGGGACGGGCGGCUCCGGGACAGGAAGGUCCCGACCGGGUGCCACUUCGGAUAAACCCUUUGGACUCCUAACUCCAAUCAGGUGUCUGCUUUGUUGAGGACUCACAGACACAGUCUCCUUUCUUCAAGAUCUUUACAAUGCAAGACCUCACUAACACACAGGGAUGGUCUCCCAGAGGGUCUGUGCUGUUCCUUCACUCAGAACAUCAAGAUGCACUGAAGUAAGGAUCCUCUAUUCUACAGUUCCUGCUAGCUGAGCUAUUCCAUGGGGGCUUCAGCAGGAAAUUCCAAGGUUGGCUUUGACAAGCUAAGGCCGGCUGGUGGAGCACAUCGAGUUCUGGAGGUUCAUGUGUGUUUUCAUGAAGAUCUGUCUGCCCGUAGCAGAUAAAGAGUUGUUGCCCCACUCCUCCUGGGGUCUUCUAUUUUCCUGGGAGGAAUUUCUGGAUUAACUGAACACACACACACACACACACACCCUUUUGAAGCAUCAACAGUAAUUCUGAGUUCUUAGGGACAAUGCAGAUUAAAUCCACAAUAAGAAAGACAACUAUGGCCAGGUGUGGUGGCUCACGCCUGUAAUCCCAGAACUUUGGGAGGCUGAGGCGGAUGGAUCACCUGAGGUCAGGAGUUAGAGACCAACCUGACCAACAUGGAGAAACCCCGUUUCUACUAAAAAUGCAAAAUUAGCCGGGCAUGGUGGCAGGCGCCUGUAAUCCCAAAUACUCGGGAGGCUGAGGCAGGAGAAUCACUUAAACCCGGGAGGCAGAGGUUGCAGUGAGCCAAGAUCGCGCCAUUGCACUCCAGCCUGGGCAAGAAGAGCAAAACUCCAUCUCAAAAAAAAAAAAAGAGUACUAUUGAUCCAGAGGUGACCAGACUAGCCUCACUGGAGAUAAUAGGUGACAUUAUUAUGCAAAGUGGUUUCAGUUCCCUUGUCUUGUUUUUGGAAUAGUAUAAGAGGCCUACAAUACGAAUAAAUAAGGCCCAUCACAAGCCUCACCAAAGGACAAAACUAAUCCACUUCUGAAGAAGGCUCUUUGUUGGGCCAGAUCAAAUCCUUGGACAGAACUGUACUCUUAAUCUCUGUAGUGAAAGUGGGGGGUAGUUUAAGAAUUUAUUAACCUUCUACCUUGAGCAAUCCCUCAGAAGUAAGAGGUGUCAGGCCUCUGAGCCGAAGCUCAGCCAUUGUAACCCCUGUGACCUGCACAUAUAUGUCCAGAUGGCCUGCAGGAGCCAAGAAGUCUGGGGCAGCUGAAAAACCACACAAGAAGUAAAACAGCCAGUUCCUGCCUUAACUGAUUAACCAACAUUACAACAUUCCACCAUUGUGACCUGUCCCUGUCCUACCUUAACUGAUCAAUCGACCUUGUGACAGUCUUCUUCUGGACAAUGGGUCUUAUCAUCUCCCCACCAUGUACCUUGUGACCCCCUCCUCUGCUAACAAUAGAUAACCACUUUUUACUGUAAUUUUCCAUUACCUACCCAACUCCUAUAAAGCAACCCCUUCCCCAUCUCCCUUCACUGACUCUGUUUUCAGACUCAGCCCACUUGCACUCAAGUGAAUAAACAGCCUUGUUGCUCACACAAAGCCUGUUGGUGGUCUCUUCACACAGAUGUGCUUGACAAAAGGGAAGGGUGGAUUUGUCCUUCUGGUUACAUAUGUUCUGCUCACUCAUUUUGAAUUUAAUUAAACAAGGAUUGCCCUUACCUUUUCAUACUUUGUAAGAAACCAUAAAUACUUAUGCACCAUGAUUUUUUUAAAGAAACACUUUUUAUUUUGAAGUAAUUAUAGUCUCAUAGGAAGUUGCAAAAGUAGUACAUAGAGUCCCUGAGUACUCUUCCCCCAGUGGUGACAACUGUAGUAUAAUAUCAAUUCUGGGAAAUUGACAUUGGUACAAUACCAAAUAUACUAUGCCUUUUUCUCUAAGGCAUGAUGUUGCAGUAGCAUCCUUGUACAUGUAGCUAGGAGAACUUGUACUAAGCCCAGAUAAAUAGUUGAAGUACAAGGGCAAGGAGUGUGUCUUUGAUAUUUUAAUAGAAAUCACCUAUUGCCCUCUAGAAAAGCUGUACCCUUUUCCAGUGGCAGAGAACCUUCCUGAAAGGCAGUCCUGUGUAAUGGUGUCCAUUUCAUCACACCCUUAAAACACUCAGCUUUAACAAACAUGCAGAUUUUUGCUGAUGUGGGAGAAAAUAUUAAUUAUUAAUGAUAUUAAGGUGAUUAUCUUUUCGUAUGUUUAUAGAUAUUUGUAUUUCUUUUUAAAUGAACUGCUCAUGACCUUUGUCUACUUUUAUUUGGGUUUACUUCUUUCUCAUUUAUUCCUAUAAACUCUUUAUAAAAGGAAAUUAACCAUUUGAUUGUCAUAUGUUGUGAAUAUUUUUACCAUUUUG
ensembl:lncRNA DHRS4-AS1 DHRS4 antisense RNA 1